rnacentral:sRNA from 1 species
ACGACAGCUCUGGAGAAUGAACACCUCUUUAUUCAUCAGACAGGUACAGUGUGGGCAGCUGCAGUGAAAACUUACCCGCUCACCCCCAUGGACCUCAACUCUGACUGCAAAGGAAAACCUCUAGGGAUGAGAGAGGAGUUCAAAUUCCAUGUCCUGAUCAGGCUUCAAACUUU